rnacentral:rRNA from 1 species
AGAGCGAACGCUGGCGGCAGGCCUAAUACAUGCAAGUCGAGCGGCCACUUCGGUGGCAGCGGCGGACGGGUGAGUAACGCGUGGGAAUGUGCCCUUUGGUACGGAACAACUGAGGGAAACUUCAGCUAAUACCGUAUGUGCCCUUCGGGGGAAAGAUUUAUUGCCAUUGGAGCAGCCCGCGUUGGAUUAGCUAGUUGGUGGGGUAAAGGCCCACCAAGGCGACGAUCCAUAGCUGGUCUGAGAGGAUGAUCAGCCACACUGGGACUGAGCCACGGCCCAGACUCCUACGGGAGGCAGCAGUAGGGAAUCUUGCGCAAUGGGCGAAAAGCCUGACGCAGCCAUGCCGCGUGAAUGAUGAAGGUCUUAGGAUUGUAAAAUUCUUUCACCGGGAAGAUAAUGACGGUACCCGGAGAAGAAGCCCGGCUAACUUCGUGCCAGCAGCCGC